UAAUUGCACAGGUGAUCAAUGAAGAAACUUCAAACUUUGCUGAAAACUACUUUCCAUCAGAAGUGCAUACAAAAAACCGAAGACCUGCUCGGCAUGAUGACAGAGGAGAGAAAGCAACGUAUCAUGUUACUGUCCCAAGCAUGUUCAGCGAAAUAGGACGACUAAGUGGAAACCCACGAAGCGGAGACUGACGGAGAUUGAGCACGCUCAUUUGCAAACAUAUUUGCUUACCAACUGUGAAGAUGUUCUACAAUAUGAGAGUGUUUAUAUGGCAGAGUUGCGUAUGACUUACAGACAUGCCACAGAAGAAGAGCUUCAACAACUCAGACAUAACGGAUUUGCUGCAUGGCUUCUUAAUUAUGUGACUGAUGGUUUGGCCAGAGGUUUUGUGUUCGAUGAUUGGAUAUGCGAGUUUGUGCGGGGACCAAACUAUGUGGUCAAAUCAUAUCCAAAAUAUUGUACACGAGGAUAUGCCUUUGCAAAAAAAGGUCAUUCUAGGACAACUUAUGAUGGAGGUGUUUCCUCUUCUUCCGGUGACGAUGUCUAC